rnacentral:rRNA from 1 species
UUCACCCCUGCAAUUGGAANCGGGAGCGGGGGAAAAGCUUUCUUUUUUCCUGCCGGCGAAAAGUGGGGAAANCGGGGUGNAGUAAUACCUUCGGAAACGUGCCCCUGUAGGUGGGGGAUAACUUUUCGAAAGGUUUUGNCUAAUCCCCGCAUAGGCCCCUGGGGGUGAAAAGUGGGGGACCCGCAAGGCCCUCNAUGCUAUAGGAGCGGCCGAUUUUUGUUUAGCUAGUUGGUGGGGUAAAGGCCUUCCCAAGGGGACGAUCCAGUAGCUUGUUUUNGAGAGGACGAUCAGCCCCCCCUGGGAUUGGGACCCGGCCCAGAUUCCUACGGGAGGCAGCAGUGGGGAAUUUUGGACAAUGGGCGAAAGCCUGAUCCAGCAAUGCCGGCGUGUGUGAAGAAGGCCUUCCGGGUUGUAAAGCACUUUUGUCCGGAAAGAAAUGGCUCUGGUUAAUACCCGGAGUUGAUGACGGUACCGGAAGAAUAAGGACCGGCUAACUACGUGCCAGCAGCCGCGGUAAUACGUAGGGUCCAAGCGUUAAUCGGAAUUACUGGGCGUAAAGCGUGCGCAGGCGGUUGUGCAAGACCGAUGUGAAAUCCCCGGGCUUAACCUGGGAAUUGCAUUGGUGACUGCACGGCUAGAGUGUGUCAGAGGGAGGUAGAAUUCCACGUGUAGCAGUGAAAUGCGUAGAGAUGUGGAGGAAUACCGAUGGCGAAGGCAGCCUCCUGGGAUAACACUGACGCUCAUGCACGAAAGCGUGGGGAGCAAACAGGAUUAGAUACCCUGGUAGUCCACGCCCUAAACGAUGUCAACUAGUUGUUGGGGAUUCAUUUCCUUAGUAACGUAGCUAACGCGUGAAGUUGACCGCCUGGGGAGUACGGUCGCAAGAUUAAAACUCAAAGGAAUUGACGGGGACCCGCACAAGCGGUGGAUGAUGUGGAUUAAUUCGAUGCAACGCGAAAAACCUUACCUACCCUUGACAUGCCACUAACGAAGCAGAGAUGCAUUAGGUGCUCGAAAGAGAAAGUGGACACAGGUGCUGCAUGGCUGUCGUCAGCUCGUGUCGUGAGAUGUUGGGUUAAGUCCCGCAACGAGCGCAACCCUUGUCUCUAGUUGCUACGAAAGGGCACUCUAGAGAGACUGCCGGUGACAAACCGGAGGAAGGUGGGGAUGACGUCAAGUCCUCAUGGGCCCUUUUGGGUAGGGCUUCACNACGUCCUACAAUGGUGCAUACAGANGGGUUGCCAAGCCGCGGGGUGGAGCUAAUCCCAGAAAAUGCAUCGUAAUUCCGGAUCGUAGUCUNNGCAACUCGCCUACGUGGAAGCUGGGAAUCGCUUAGUAAUCCGCGGAUCAGCAAUNGCCCGCGGUGAAAUACUUUCCCGGGNUCUUNNNGUACACACCGCCCGUCACACCAUGGGGGGGUGGGCUUUCCCAGAAGUAUUUUUCCUAACCGCACGGGGGGGGAUUAUUCCCGGGUGGGGU